rnacentral:rRNA from 1 species
CCUACGGGAGGCAGCAGUGGGGAAUAUUGGACAAUGGGCGCAAGCCUGAUCCAGCCAUGCCGCGUGGAUGAUGAAGGCCUUAGGGUUGUAAAAUCCUUUCAACGGGGACGAUAAUGACGGUACCCGUAGAAGAAGCCCCGGCUAACUUCGUGCCAGCAGCCGCGGUAAUACGAAGGGGGCUAGCGUUGCUCGGAAUUACUGGGCGUAAAGCGCACGUAGGCGGAUAUUUAAGUCGGAGGUGAAAGCCCAGGGCUCAACCCUGGAACUGCCCUCGAUACUGGGUAUCUGGACCAAAGUAGAGGUAAGUGGAAUUCCGAGUGUAGAGGUGAAAUUCGUAGAUAUUCGGAGGAACACCAGUGGCGAAGGCGACUUACUGGACUUUUGGUGACGCUGAGGUGCGAAAGCGUGGGGAGCAAACAGGAUUAGAUACCCCGGUAGUC